UAAGUAAGCGGAGGAAAAGAAACUAAAUAGGAUUCCCUCAGUAAUGGCGAAUGAACAGGGAUGAGCUCAGUAUGGAAAUUGGGGCCUGUGGCCUUGAAUUGUAGUCUGGAGAUGUACUACCAACUGGGGCGCAGAUGUAAGCCUCUUGGAAAAGAGCAUCAAUGAGGGUGAGAGUCCCGCUUGGCAUCUGCAGUCCCCAGUGCACGGUGUACCUUCUAAGAGUCACGUUCCUCGGGAUUGGAGCGCAAAUUGGGUGGUAAAUUUCAUCUAAAGCUAAAUAUUGUUUCGAGACCGAUAGCAAACAAGUACCAUGAGGGAAAGGUGAAAAGGACUUUGAAAAGAGAGUUAAAAGUGCCUGAAAUUGCUGAAAGGGAAGCGAAUGGAACCAGCGUAACUUGGUGAGAUUGCUGCGUAUCAAUGUGAUUGCUUGCUGCUUCAACGUAAGUGUGGUAGUAAGUCUUGAACAGGACAUGCGUGGUGUUUCUUGCCUUGUGUGUCACUGCCAGUUCACAGCUGGGGAAAACUUCAGGGGCAUGGUAGCUUGUCUCCGGAUGGGUGAACGUGUCUGCUGGAACUCAUUUGUGGACUGAUUGGUGACUAAAUGGUUCCAUCUG
rnacentral:rRNA from 1 species